AUGAGACGGGAUGUUGAGCGUUUUAUUGCUCGCUGCACUACAUGUCAAAAAGCUAAGUCACGACUCAAUCCUCAUGGUUUAUAUAUGCCUUUGCCUGUACCUAGUGUUCCUUGGGAGGAUAUAUCUAUGGACUUUGUUUUAGGUUUACCUCGAACAAAGAAGGGGAGGGAUAGCAUAUUUGUUGUCGUGGAUAGAUUCUCGAAAAUGGCACACUUUAUACCAUGUCAUAAAAGCGAUGAUGCUAUUAAUGUUGCUGAUUUGUUCUUUCGUGAAAUUAUUCGCUUGCAUGGUGUGCCAAAUAUUAUUGUUUCAGAUCGUGAUACUAAAUUUCUUAGCCACUUUUGGAGAUGUUUAUGGGCUAAGUUGGGGACUAAAGUGCUUUUUAGUACUACUUGUCACCCCCAAACUGAUGGACAAACUGAAGUAGUCAAUAGAAUGUUGUCUACUAUGCUUAGGGCUGUUUUGAAGAAUAAUAAGAAAAUGUGGGAGGAAUGCUUGCCUCAUAUUGAAUUUGCUUAUAAUCGUUCAUUGCAUUCUACUACUAAGAUGUGCCCUUUUGAAGUUGUGUAUGGUUUCCUACCUCGUGCACCUAUUGAUUUGUUGCCUCUUCCAUCUUCGGAGAAGGUUAAUUUUGAUGCUAAACAACGUGCUGAAUUGAUUUUAAAAAUGCAUGAGUUAACUAAGGAAAACAUUGAGCGCAUGAAUGCUAAAUAUAAACUUGCUGGAGAUAAGGGUAGAAAACAUGUUGUGUUUGCACCUGGAGAUCUUGUUUGGUUACAUUUGCGUAAGGAUAGAUUUCCUGAUUUGCGCAAAUCAAAGUUAAUGCCACGUGCUGAUGGUCCCUUUAAGGUGUUAGAGAAAAUAAAUGAUAAUGCAUAUAAACUUGAGCUGCCUGCAGAUUUUGGGGUUAGUCCCACUUUUAACAUUGCAGAUUUGAAGCCUUAUUUGGGUGAGGAAGAUGAACUUCCGUCGAGGACGACUUCAUUUCAAGAAGGGGAGGAUGAUGAGGACAUCAAUACAAUUGUUACACCCACAGCCCCUGCUGCUAUACAUACUGGACCAAUUACUAGAGCUCGUGCACGCCAACUAAAUUACCAGGUACUUUCGUUUCUUGGUAAUGAUUCUAAUGUUCAUGAGAAUAUGAUGCUGCCUAAAUUGGAUACAUUUGUUUUGCUUACAAAUGAAGGGCCUAGCUUGGAGAAGGAUGAACAUUGGAGCAAGAACAAGCAUGGAGAUGAUGGCAUGCGCAAGGGGAACAAGAACGGAGUUACAAGUGAUGAUUUCAGGACUUUGAAGCCACCAUAA
rnacentral:rRNA from 1 species